rnacentral:tRNA from 2 species
UCCCGUCUAGCUCAACUGGCAGAGCAGCCGACUGUUAAUCGGCAGGUUACUGGUUCGAGUCCAGUGACGGGAGCGA